UACGUAGGGGCGAGCGUUGUCCGGAAUGACUGGGCGUAAAGGGCGUGUAGGCGGCUGAUUAAGUCUGGAGUGAAAGUCCUGCAUUCAAUGUGGGAAUUGCUUUGGAGACUGGUCGGCUUGAGUGCGGAAGAGGUAAGUGGAAUUCCCAGUGUAGCGGUGAAAUGCGUAGAGAUUGGGAGGAACACCAGUGGCGAAGGCGACUUACUGGGCCGUAACUGACGCUGAGGCGCGAAAGCGUGGGGAGCGAACAGGAUUAGAUACCCUGGUA
rnacentral:rRNA from 1 species